UACGAGUGGCCCAAGCGUUAAUCGGAAUCACUGGGCUUAAAGCGUGCGCAGGCGGACCUUCAGGCGUCCCGUGAAAUGCCCCGGCUCAACCGGGGAAUGGCUGGGCGAACCGUUGGUCUUGAGGCAGGUAGGGGGGUGCAGAACUGUCGGUGGAGCGGUGAAAUGCGUAGAUAUCGACAGGAAUGCCGAAGGCGAAGGCGGCACCCUGGGCCUGUCCUGACGCUCAUGCACGAAAGCGUGGGGAGCAAACAGG
rnacentral:misc_RNA from 1 species